rnacentral:piRNA from 1 species
UGAUAUUAGAGAAAUUGGCCUAUAGUUC